rnacentral:rRNA from 1 species
GACGAACGCUGGCGGCGUGCUUAACACAUGCAAGUCGAACGGAAAGGCCCUGCUUUUGUGGGGUGCUCGAGUGGCGAACGGGUGAGUAACACGUGAGUAACCUGCCCUUGUCUUUGGGAUAACUUCAGGAAACUGGGGCUAAUACCGGAUAGGAGCUCCUGCUGCAUGGUGGGGGUUGGAAAGUUUCGGCGGUUGGGGAUGGACUCGCGGCUUAUGAGCUGGUUGGUGGGGUAGUGGCUUACCAAGGCUUUGACGGGUAGCCGGCCUGAGAGGGUAACCGGCCACAUUGGGACUGAGAUACGGCCCAGACUCCUACGGGAGGCAGCAGGGGGGAAUAUUGCACAAUGGGCGGAAGCCUGAUGCAGCAACGCCGCGUGCGGGAUGACGGCCUUCGAGGUGUAAACCGCUUUCGCCUGUGACGAAGCGUGCGUGACGGUAAUGGGUAAAGAAGCACCGGCUAACUACGUG